GCAUGUUUUUGACAUUUGAAAAAUGGACUGCUCAGUAAUACUCACUUUAUUUUAUGUAAAUUUUUAAUUAACUACGUUAAAGUGUAGAUAAGAUGUUUACAGUAAGAGUGAGACCUAUCAGCUAGUUGUUAAGGUAAUGGCUUAACAAGGCUGUGACGGGUAACGGUAUUACUUUGUAAUAUUCCGGAGAAGGAGCCUGAGAGACGGCUACUAAGUCUAAGGAUUGCAGCAGGGGCGAAACUUGACCUAUGGAUUUUAUCUGAGGCAGUUAUGGGAAGUAAUAUUAUAUUGUUUCAUAUUUUAAAAGUAUAUGAGGUGAUUAAUUGGAGGGCAAAUCAAGUGCCAGCAGCCGCGGUAAUACUUGUUCCAAGAGUGUGUAUGAUGAUUGAUGCAGUUAAAAAGUCCGUAGUUUAUUUUUUUAAGAAGCAAUAUGAGGUGUACUGUAUAGUUGGGAGAAAGAUGAAAUGUGACGACCCUGACUGGACGAACAGAAGCGAAAGCUGUACACUUGUAUGUAUUUUUUGAACAAGGACGUAAGCUGGAGGAGCGAAGAUGAUUAGAUACCAUUGUAGUUCCAGCAGUAAACUAUGCCGACGAUGUGAUAUGAAAAUGUUAAUUUGUAUUACAUAAUAGAAAUUUGAGUUUUUUGGCUCUGGGGAUAGUAUGAUCGCAAGAUUGAAAAUUAAAGAAAUUGACGGAAGAAUACCACAAGGAGUGGAUUGUGCGGCUUAAUUUGACUCAACGC
rnacentral:rRNA from 1 species